rnacentral:lncRNA from 1 species
GUUUCUGAUAGAGGGAUACUGCUGCCAGAAUGAUCACUGGAAUUCAAGAAAAUAUAUCAUCGACUCUUCAUAGUUUCGAGAAACCUAUGCCUAUUCCAAGAGACUUGGCAAUUUCUGUUGCUUUUAAUUGUGUUGUGUAGAGCGUGACAAUAUUCUGCAAAGACAAUUAUUGUUUGUUUCUCUGUUACAUUUUAAUAUAUUCUUUUUUGAAGACAUUUUCAAUGACAAUUGGAAUCCAAACUUAAAAUAAGGUUCAACUACAUGCCAUGCAAACAAGGCUUAUUUCCCAGCUUAGGUGAGACUCAAAUGAAUCUGUAACCUUCUACACACAUGCUAAUUUGCACAUGUGCAGACAUUGACAUCUAUGUCACAACACAUUUCUCUGCCAAGUAUCUUUGGCAAAGACUAUAAAUUACAUACGAAUUUGAGAUAUGUUAAAAUGUGAAAAGCUCUGCAUCUUAGACUUGAUGAAAUACAGUAAUAAAUAACACUUAUCAAUUGUGUGUAAUAUGUUAGAUACCUCGCCUAUAUUAUUCACUUAUUUUCAUAAUUACCCUAUAAAACAGUACUGUUACUGUCUCAAUUUUACAGAUGAAGAAAACCGAGUCUAGGGGAGUUUAAGUCAUUAGUCUGAGGAAAAGGCAGAAUUGAACCAAAGCUUGAACUUGAAGCAUAUACGAUCUUCCCUACUUAUCUCUUGGUUGCUUAAACACUUCGCUAAGAAGAGAGCAUUGUAAGAAGAAAUUAAAAAAUUGCAGCACCGGAAGUUCAAGUCAAUUCUAUUGGAAGCUGGUCUUUUUUUUUUUCCAGAAGGUUCUGGAUGGAACAGACUGGACUCUUUCAAUAAGGGUUUUAAUAUGCAAUUUAAUUUACAAUAGAAUGUCCUAUAUGACUAGAAAAU